rnacentral:rRNA from 1 species
CCUACGGGUGGCAGCAGUCGAGAAUCAUUCACAAUGGGGGAAACCCUGAUGGUGCGACGCCGCGUGGGGGAAUGAAGGUCUUCGGAUUGUAACCCCCUGUCUUGUGGGAGCAAAUUAACAAGUUAGUACCACAAGAGGAAGAGACGGCUAACUCUGUGCCAGCCGCCGCGGUAAUACAGAGGUCUCAAGCGUUGUUCGGAAUCACUGGGCGUAAAGCGUGCGUAGGCUGUUUCGUAAGUCGUGUGUGAAAGGCGCGGGCUCAACCCGCGGACGGCACAUGAUACUGGGAGACUAGAGUAAGGGAGGGGGAACCGGAAUUCUCGGUGUAGCAGUGAAAUGCGUAGAUAUCGAGAGGAACACUCGUGGCGAAGGCGGGUUCCUGGACAUUAACUGACGCUGAGGCACGAAGGCCAGGGGAGCGAAAGGGAUUAGAUACCCUAGUAGUC